rnacentral:rRNA from 1 species
CAGUCGCCGCGGUAAUACGAAGGGUGCAAGCGUUACUCGGAAUUACUGGGCGUAAAGCGUGCGUAGGUGGUGGUUUAAGUCCGUUGUGAAAGCCCUGGGCUCAACCUGGGAAUUGCAGUGGAUACUGGGUCACUAGAGUGUGGUAGAGGAUAGUGGAAUUUCCGGUGUAGCAGUGAAAUGCGUAGAGAUCGGAAGGAACAUCUGUGGCGAAGGCGACUACCUGGGCCAACACUGACACUGAGGCACGAAAGCGUGGGGAGCAAACAGGAUUAGAUACCCGGGUAGUCCCUGUCUCUUAUAC